CCAGGAUGUUCAUGUAUCCUGAGAAAAUGAGAUGGAACAUACAUGAGACAUGAUGUGGCCAUAUUAUAUGUUGAAGAUCCAAGUCUGGAAUCUGUUAUGGGACACAUAAUAAACUGGUGGGAGCCUGAGGAAUUAGGAAGAUGUGGUUAUGACAUUCAGCAUAUGCUGAGGCAAAAGAGACAAGGUUUUUGUCUAGCAGCCAGAGAUUAAACUACUGCUCAGAAUCCAG
rnacentral:lncRNA from 1 species